rnacentral:rRNA from 1 species
AGAUUGAACGCUGGCGGCAUGCCUUACACAUGCAAGUCGAACGGUAGAGUAGCAAUACUCGAGAGUGGCGAACGGGUGAGUAAUAUAUCGGAACGUGCCCAGUCGUGGGGGAUAACGUAGAGAAAUUUACGCUAAUACCGCACACGAUCUAAGGAUGAAAGCGGGGGAUCGCAAGACCUCGCGCGAUUGGAGCGGCUGAUAUCAGAUUAGGUUGUUGGUGAGGUAAAAGCUCACCAAGCCGACGAUCUGUAGCUGGUUUGAGAGAACGACCAGCCACACUGGGACUGAGACACGGCCCAGACUCCUACGGGAGCAGCAGUGGGAAUUUGGACAAUGGGCGAAAGCCUGAUCCAGCAAUGCCGCGUGCAGGAAGAAGGCC